GGAAGAGUGGCAGAGUGGUCGAUCGCGGCGGUCUUGAAAACCGUUGACUGUUAAAGGUCCGGGGGUUCGAAUCCCUCCUCUUCCG
rnacentral:tRNA from 2 species